rnacentral:rRNA from 1 species
GAUGAACGCUGGCGGCGUGCCUAAUACAUGCAAGUCGAGCGAACGGACGAGAAGCUUGCUUCUCUGAUGUUAGCGGCGGACGGGUGAGUAGCACGUGGAUAACCUACCUAUAAGACUGGGAUAACUUCGGGAAACCGGAGCUAAUACAGGAUCAUAUUUUGAACCGCAUGGUUCAAAAGUGAAAGACGGUCUUGCUGUCACUUAUAGAUGGAUCCGCGCUGCAUUAGCUAGUUGGUAAGGUAACGGCUUACCAAGGCAACGAUGCAUAGCCGACCUGAGAGGGUGAUCGGCCACACUGGAACUGAGACACGGUCCAGACUCCUACGGGAGGCAGCAGUGGGGAAUCUUCCGCAAUGGGCGAAAGCCUGACGGAGCAACGCCGCGUGAGUGAUGAAGGUCUUCGGAUCGUAAAACUCUGUUAUUAGGGAAGAACAUAUGUGUAAGUAACUGUGCACAUCUUGACGGUACCUAAUCAGAAAGCCACGGCUAACUACGUG